GUUGCAGAUUUAUAACGUACAAUCUUUAUUGAUAUAAUAUUUGGUUGGUUAAUGCAGUAUUAAUUUCAAGGGUACGACAGCUACGUCUAGCAUCUUUAAAGGGUGAGCAAAUGAGAAGCUCACAAAGGAAAAAACCAAGAACCGUACAAUAAAAAUAUAGAAUAUUGUACAGCUUAUAGUUUUAUAUUAGUCAACGUAUAAUGGAGGGGAUAUGCUAACAAAAGAAAAGUUGUAGAGUGUCUAUGGUAGCUUCUCCUUGAGCCAUACCCAAGUAAGCUGGUCCCAAGCCCGGAUGAAGGGGGAAGGUUGUGUUAAACUUUCGGCCGCCGACGUAAAACUCACUGAUAUCUUUAAUAUGGAGUCGACCUCUCCUAGUGGCCAGGUCGGUAGCUGACGGGAUUACUCAUUUAACCAAUUUUUCAGUAGUACUUUCACUUCGGAGCUUGAUAUUUUCACAUCUAAAUUUUUUUCACAUAUCUUUUACACUGCUCCAGUUCCUAAACAAGCUCAAGGUUCACAACUCCACUUCCCAUGAAGUUGAAAACACAGAUAUUUUCAUAUUCAUUCACUAUAUCAGUUGGUUGGUUAAUGGAAGUCAAGACUCGAGAACAAACCUUGGAAUCUCCACUGAACCCUUGCAAGAAC